rnacentral:rRNA from 1 species
CCUACGGGAGACUGCAGUAGGGAAUAUUGCUCAAUGGGGGAAACCCUGAAGCAGCAACGCCGCGUGGAGGAUGAAGGUUUUCGGAUUGUAAACUCCUUUUGUUAGAGAAGAUAAUGACGGUAUCUAACGAAUAAGCACCGGCUAACUCCGUGCCAGCAGCCGCGGUAAUACGGAGGGUGCAAGCGUUACUCGGAAUCACUGGGCGUAAAGAGCGCGUAGGCGGGAUAGCAAGUCAGAUGUGAAAUCCUAGGGCUUAACCAUAGAACUGCAUUUGAAACUGUUAUUCUAGAGUAUGGGAGAGGUAGGUGGAAUGCUUGGUGUAGGGGUAAAAUCCGUAGAGAUCAAGAGGAAUACUCAUUGCGAAGGCGACCUGCUAGAACAUAACUGACGCUGAUGCGCGAAAGCGUGGGGAGCAAACAGGAUUAGAUACCCUUGUAGUC